rnacentral:lncRNA from 1 species
AAACAAAGAUAAAUUAAAAUAAAUAAGGGGCUAGUGGUUUGGGUCAUGACCACACCCUUAGGAUAGUGGUUUUGGAUGGUGGAAUAGAGGUGGGUUACAUGGCACUAACAUGGAGGGUCAUGAUGGUCAUAAGGGUCAUGACCACACCCUAUAGCCUAACAAUACACCUAAGAAGAAAAUAAGGAUCAGAAGCAUGGAAUCUUCAAAUCAAUAAAAGCAAGAAGAAAAUAAGGAAGUUAAAGUUACCUAAAAACUUGGCAAGAAGUAUCCAUUGAAUGACACAACGAAAACAAUCUUCCCUGUUGUCAAGGAAAAAAACACUAAUCAAAUUUCACAUAUCUUAGAUCUGUAAGUUGCUUCAUCGAAACAUAAGUCAAAAUCAAAACACAAACUUGACAAACCAACUUAUCAAUCCAUUCUUGGUGUUAGGACAAUCGAACACCACCGAUUGAUAUGAACACCGCCCUCUAGAUGCACCACAACCUAUUGUGCUUGUCGGAUGCGUUCCCCUUUUUCAUAAACACUAAUAUUUGAAGUCCCAAAAAAGCCUAACUUGUUAGAUAUGAAUACAUGGAACGCCCACUUUGACUAUAAAAGAAUACAUACAUACCUGGUUCAGGAAAGCAGGUUCUCACCGGAGCUAAGCUGACUCGUCGGAACCCUAAAACUUUCAGAUCUCUCACCGGCAGAGAUCCCGACACCCGUGGUGUCGUCUGUUCAUGUUGAUCCCGACACCCGUGGUACCGUAAUUUUGCCCGACCUUCACCGGAACCCUAGCAUCUUCUCUACGCCGCUAAUCACCACCGGAACCGCACCCUGAUUCCGUCACCACCGGAACCGCACCGUGAAUCCGGCACCACCACACACUGAUAAUUUCUCUAGUCACCACCACACCACCAGUGAUAGGCAACGCCGCCGUUCCGACACACACCGUUCUCUCUCUCCUUUCUGAUCUCUCUCAUCGUUCUCUCUCCAUGUAAUCGGCGGUGUGUGUGGAGGUGGAGUAGGUUUAGGGUUUGCUUGAAUCACUUAUCAGACGUGGAGGAGAGGUGUACCUCUAUUUACUGAUAUGCCCUCUAUUUACUGUUCAUUCAAAGCUCCUUUCCAUUGGGUUAACCUCAGAUUUCCUUUAGUAGCUCUCUCUUUUUUCUUUUAUAAAUCUUACACUGCUAUUGCUUUAAUUUAA